AGUGUUACGCCGGAUGAACGGAAAUCAUUGAUGUUGAUUAAUAUGGGACGACCUGUCUCUAACGCUA
rnacentral:tRNA from 1 species